rnacentral:rRNA from 1 species
AGCAGCCGCGGUAAUUCCAGCUCCAAUAGCGUAUAUUAAAGUUGCUGCAGUUAAAAAGCUCGUAGUUGAAUUUCGGGACCAUCAUGUCGGUCGUGCCUCGGUACGUACUGGCAUUGUUGGUUUCUCCCUUCUGACGAACCAUGAUGUCAUUUAUUUGGUGUUGUGGGGAAUCAGGACUGUUACUUUGAAAAAUUAGAGUGUUUAAAGCAGGCUCACGCUUGAAUACAUUAGCAUGGAAUAAUGAAAUAGGACGUUUGAUUCCAUUUUGUUGGUUUCUAGGAUCGACGUAAUGAUUAAUAGGGAUAGUUGGGGGCAUUAGUAUUCAAUUGUCAGAGGUGAAAUUCUUGGAUUUAUUGAAGACUAACUACUGCGAAAGCAUUUGCCAAGGAUGUUUUCAUUAAUCAAGAACGAAAGUUAGGGGAUCGAAGACGAUCAGAUACCGUCGUAGUC